rnacentral:lncRNA from 1 species
GCCAUAAUUCUCUCUCACAUUCACAGCCGGAUCGUUUUCAGAUCCGAAUCGAAGAAACAAGAAACCCCGUAAAAACCUAACUUUCUCUCUCACAUUCACCGCCGGAAUCGAAGAAAAAAAAGGGGGUUGUUCGCCAUUUUAUCACCGGAAUCGAACAAAUCAGGUUUCGACGGUGGUCCAAAUCUUUGCCGGAUCGUUGCUGAGUUUUUCAGAUCUUCGCUGCCAAUGAUGAAGUUAAAGAACAAAUCCAGAUCCCUCAUCUUUGCCGGAUCGAUUUUCAGAUCCGAAUUGAAAAUUAGUUGCUGAGUUUUUUUGGUCUCUCCAGCAUUGAUCCGACGAAAUUAGUUGCUGAGUUUUUUUGUUCAUUUUUUUGAUUUUCGCUUUGUUUUUUAAUGCGAUGUACACAUGUGUAUUCUGAUUUUGAUCUGUUUAAAUGCGAUGUACGCAUGUGUAUUCUGAUUUUGCCUUGUUUUUAAUGCGAUGUACACAUGUGUAUAUCGUUUGUUUGUGUGAUAUCUCAGAUUUUUUUUU